GGUGAUUAGAGAUAUUAACAUACUAAUGGGAAACAAUUCCCGGAUGAGCCCCCAUUUUGUUACGCUCCCCAACAAGAAAACCAAAUAAUGUCACUCAAACAGAAGGGAGAAAUAACACAGACUCACUGACAACAACCACCAUGAAACAGGUGGGGUUGUAGGUGUUCUGAAAGACACUAUGGGGGGGGGGGUGUCCCCUGUUCUGAGAGACACUCAUGGGGGUGUCCCCUGUUCUGAAAGACACUAUGAGGGUGUCCCCUGUUCUGAAAGACACUAUGGGGGUGUCCCCUGUUCUGAGAGACACUAUGGGGGUGUCCCCUGUUCUGAGAGACACUAUGGGGGGGUGUCCCCUGUUCUGAAAGACACUAUGGGGGGGUGUCCCCUGUUCUGAAAGACACUAUGGGGGUGUCCCCCGUUCUGAAAGACACUAUGGGGGUGUCCCCCGUUCUGAAAGACACUAUGGGGAUGUCCCCCGUUCUGAAAGACACUAUGGGGGUGUCCCCUGUUCUGAAAGACACUAUGGGGGUGUCCCCUGUUCUGAAAGACACUAUGGGGGUGUCCCCUGUUCUGAAAGACACUAUGGGGGUGUCCCCUGUUCUGAAAGACACUAUGGGGGUGUCCCCUGUUCUGAAAGACCCUAUGGGGGUGUCCCCUGUUCUGAAAGACACUAUGGGGGUGUCCCCUGUUCUGAGAGACACUAUGGGGGUGUCCCCUGUUCUGAGAGACACUAUGGGGGUGUCCCCUGUUCUGAAAGACACUAUGGGGGUGUCCCCUGUUCUGAAAGACACUAUGGGGGUGUCCCCUGUUCUGAGAGACACUAUGGGGGUGUCCCCUGUUCUGAGA
rnacentral:lncRNA from 1 species